rnacentral:rRNA from 1 species
GUAGCCGAGGAGGAAGCCACGGCUAACUACGUGCCAGCAGCCGCGGUAAUACGUAGGUGGCAAGCGUUGUCCGGAAUUACUGGGUGUAAAGGGAGCGUAGGCGGGAAGGCAAGUCGAUUGUCUAAACUAUGGGCUCAACCCAUAGUCGCGAUCGAAACUGUUUUUCUUGAGUGAAGUAGAGGUAAGCGGAAUUCCUAGUGUAGCGGUGAAAUGCGUAAAUAUUAGGAGGAACACCAGUGGCGAAGGCGGCUUACUGGGCUUUAACUGACGCUGAGGCUCGAAAGCGUGGGUAGCAAACAGGAUUAGAUACCCUGGUAGUCCACGCCGUAAACGAUGAUUACUAGGUGUGGGGGGACUGACCCCUUCCGUGCCGGAGUUAACACCAUAAGUAAUCCACCUGGGGA